rnacentral:tRNA from 1 species
GCGCUCGUAGCUCAGCUGGAUAGAGUACCUGGCUACGAACCAGGUGGUCGGAGGUUCGAAUCCUUCCGAGCGCG